UAAAGUUUCGACUUGGAAUUG
rnacentral:piRNA from 1 species